AUUUGCCCUCCUCCAGUCUGCCGGGACUUCGCCUGUUCUCCAGGAAUUCUCAAAGAUGACUUCCAGUGGUUCUGAGAUCACAUCUGCCAGUUCUUUUAAUACUCUUGGAUGCAGUUCUCUAAGUGGGCAAUACUGCCGUUGCGUGUGUGUGUGUGUGUGUGUGUGUGUGUUUGGGGGGCGCGUGGGUUGAACUACCUGGGGGUGGCAGGGAGUGAUGGCAGUGUAAAGUUGGUACCACUAGAUCACAUUCAACAAAUUUGUUCAAUUAAUUACACGGGAUAGUUUUACUUGGAUUUUACAUAAAUGUGUAAUCAGUUGCUACUGUUUUGAAUUUUAUUGUGUUGUUAUCUUCCUGAGUGGGUUGUGCAACCCACUGCAGUGGUACCUCGGGUUAAGAACUUAAUUUAUUCUGGAAGUCCGUUCUUAACCUGAAACUGUUCUUAACCUGAAGUACCACUUUAGCUAAUGGGGCCUCCCGCCGCUGUGCGAUUUCUGUUCUCAUCCUGAAGCAAAGUUCUUAACCCAAGGUACUAUUUCUGAGUUAGCAUAGCCUGUAACCUGAAGCGUCUGUAACCCGAGGUACCACUGUAUUCUGAAUAAUGCAUUUUAUAGGGCAGAAGAGGGAUUCUUCAGUUGCUUCUUGACCUCCCUCCUCUGCUUCUGCCUCGGAGUCUGAACUGCUCCCUGUCACCAGCUCUUCCUGCUCACUAAACCCUGUCGCUCUUUAAACAUCCAAGCCCUCUUCCCAAUCUUCUCCCUCUGACCUCUCCUCUGUGUCCCACCACCAAUCCCCUGGCUCUGAACCUUCCUUCUCUGGGGGUCUCCCUUGAGAGUUCCCCCCAGAACUGGAGUAAGAGACAACUGCCACCCCAAUUGCCUUCUGCAUGAGUCUUUAGGGAGGGUGACAUCUUGACCUUUGUCUUAGGUAGCAAAAUGUCUUGCAAUAGCCCUGUUCCUUAGUCUCAGAUUUGCUGCUAUGAGCUCGGCAGGACAGUGACCGAGUUGGCUCCACUGACCAUUAGCUCUGGCGCCACCUACUGUUGACCUCCCUACCUCCCACCCUACCAGUCCCAAGGGGCACCCCUGGGGCCAUCACUACAUCCCGUGGCAAUGAAUUUCAUAAUUAUACGGUGUGCUUUUCGACUGUCCUGACUCUUAUUUUUGGUGACCAUUGGGUGACCACAGGCUUUGGUGCUAGGGGAGCAGGAUAGCUGCUUUCUCUAUAACCAAGAGAAUGAAGAAAUUCACUUCAGUCCCAAGCCAUGCUUUAGACAGCCUGCUUUUGGACUUAUGAAAGCCUGAACCACAAGUGCCACCAAAAAUAGCUUUCAUCCUAGGUCCCCCCUCCCUUCUUAACCAACAUGAGCUGGAAAAUUUCCAAGGUCAGGCGGUGUUAAGCCUUGCCUUUAAGCUAUCGGCCAGCUCAGAUUGCAGGCUUGCUUCUGAUGUCCUUAAUUACGUUUUCCCACUCGGAAUCAACUCCCUUGCCAACAUUUAGCAAAGACUGAAGUCACCAAAAGCAACAGGCAGGUUUGAGAAGCUGACAUCUUCUGUGUCCGGGCCAGAAGUGGGGAAGCUCAGAGCUGAGAGUUAAAUGUGGCCCUUUGUUAUGUACUGAGUUGAAUAGGAUCCAAAAUGCAGCAGUCUGAUUGGUCCUAGAACAAUAGGAUCCAAAAUGCAGCAGUCUGAUUGGUCCCAGAACAAUAGGAUUCAGAAUGCAGCAGUCUGAUUGGUCCUAGAACAAUGCAGCAGUAUGAUUGGUCUGCAGGAGCCACCCAAUCCAGCUCCAGGUGGAAGUGAAUCCACAACCUGAUUGGGCUACAGGAGAAUUCCGGAAUUAGCCAAUCACGUGCAGCCGAUUGUGUAAAUAAUGUAUAUAAAGCAGAUACUUUGGGGAAACUUCCAUUCUUCCUCCCACUAUGAGCUGAAUAAAGAGCAUGAAAUCCACUCUCGACUCUGAGUAUAUUUCACCCCUUCAUGCUUUUCUAUCCGGCCCUCAAGACUCACUCGCUCUGAUUGAGGCAUCUCUUGACAUUUCAUGCAGUUUGGAGAGGUCCUUUUGGAGCUCUUUGCAAUCUCUGUUCCUUUUAGCAACCCUGAACUAUUUAGUAUCACCAGCAGACUUGACCAACCCAUUGCUAACCCCUAAUGCUAGAUUGUUUAGGAAAAAUGCAGCUCCCAGUAAGUUCACAUUCAUUCUUAUGGGGUCUGAAGCAAUGGCCACUGACCAGGAAUGAGUGGAUAGCUGAAUGAAGGCGUUGACGCCAUGAAAAGGGAAUAUUUCAUGCCCGCAGUCUUUAGGAAAGAAAUUUAGAAUAACGCUGGCAAUAUCAUAAUGCAGAUAUACAAAUCUAGGGUGCAACAGCGUUUGGAAGACUGCGUACCGUUCUGGCUGCCUCACUGCAAAAAGGAUAUUGUGGAGUGAGAAAAGGUUCAAAAAAAGAGCAAUCAAAUGUUCAAGGAGAUGAGUCCCUUGUGAAGAAAGGUUGAGCAUUUGGUACUUUUUGGAUGAGAGUAAGAGAUACGUGGUCAGGACGCGGGUGGUGCUGUGGUCUAAAUCACUGAGCCUUGGGCUUGCCGAUCGGAAGGUCAGUGGUUCGAAUCCCCGCAACGGGGUGAGCUCCCGUUGCUCGGUCCCUGCUCCUGCCAACCUAGCAGUUCAAAAGCACAUCAAAGUGCAUGUAGAUAAAUAGGUACCGCUGUGGCGGGAAGGUAAACGGCGUUUCCAUGUGCUGCGCUGGUUUCGCCAGAAGCGGCUUAGUCAUGCUGGCCACGUGACCCAGAAAAACUGUCUGCGGACAAACACUGGCUCCGUCGGCCAGUAAAGCGAGAUGAGCGCCGCAACCCCAGAGUCGUCUGCGACUGGACUUAACUGUCAGGGGUCCUUUACUUUUACCUUUUUAAGAGGUAAAGGUAAAGGGACCCCUGACCAUUAGGCGCUGGGCUAGGCACUUAUCUUCCUCCUGAUGAUGCGUAUGUGUCAUGCAUCUGAUAUCAUAUAUGUGCAAUGUGCGCAUGACAUCAAGCAUGUGAUGCAACAAUGCCCCACACUCAGUCUUAGGCCCAAGCCAAUGCCUCUGGUUCAUAUUUAUUUAUUUAUUUAUAUAUUUAUUUAUUUAUUUAUACACACAUACCCUGCCCAUCUGGCUUGGUUUCCCAGCCACUCUGGGCGGCUUCCAACAUAGAAUAAAAACACAUUAAAACACCAGCCAUUAAAAACUUCCCUGAACAGGGCUGCCUUCAGGUGUCUUCUAAAUGUCAUUUCCUUGACAUCUGAUGGGAGGGCAUUCCACAGGGCAGGCGCCACUACCAAGAAGACCCUCUGCCUGGUUCCCUGCAACUUUGCUUCUCGCAGGGAGGGAACCGUCAGAAGCCCCUCGGAGCUGGACCUUGGCGGUAGAGACGUUCCUUCAGGUAUACAGGACGGAGGCUGUUUAGAAACACGCUAUUUCAUCCAGCUCUCUUAAGUGGAUGAGAGCUGCAUGAUAACAGACUUUUGUCCCUUUUGUCCCGUGGGCUUAGCAUAAGUAGUUCCCUGAUGGGUUUCUCUCAAGCAGUGAUGAGGAACAAAAUACAAACAAUUAGGGUAAUGACAGGGAAAGCACACUAAUUGGCUAGACCAAAGGCGCUUGUUUCAACACCCACUCUCUCAUCUCCCUCCUGUUACCUGCAGGAAGCUUUUAAAGUGAUGGAUCUGAAAGGAAAGGAAUGAAAGCAGUGCUCCUCCAGGUCUGAAGACAUAAACCAGCUUCACUUUUUCCUCUUGGCAGUGCGCAUUGUGAUGUGCGAAGUGUUAUAAAUACGGCUUUAUUGAUACAUGCCGGUGGACAAGGAGGCAGCAACCCACUGAGCAAGAUCUGAAUGCAAAAAGAGACACCUGCAGCUCUGCCUCUCUUUCAAAUCAGAACCAGUGAAGGCGGUGAAGGUCCUCUGUGAGUGCCUGGAGGCGGAUGGAGGAUGGAUGGCGGCUAACAGAUUGAGGUUGAAUCCUAGCAAGAUAGAAGUACAGUGGUACCUCGGCUUAAGAACUUAAUUCGUUCCGGAGGUCCAUUCUUAACCUGAAACUGUUCUUAACCUGAAGCACCACUUUAGCUAAUGGGGCCUCCUGCUGCUGUCGCGCCGCCGGAGCAUGAUUUCUGUUCUCAUCCUGAAGCAAAGUUCUUAACCUGAGGUAAUAUUUCUGGGUUAGCAGAGUCUGUAACCUGAAGUGUAUGUAACCCGAGGAACCACUGUACUCUUUUGGGGGGACAGGAGGCAGGCUGGUGUGGAGGACUCCUUGGUCCUGAAUGGGGUAACUGUGCCCCUGAAGGACCAGGUGCGCAGCCUGGGAGUCAUUUUGGACUUGCAGUUGUCCAUGGAGGCACAGGUCAAUUCUGUGUCCAGGGCAGCUGUUUACCAGCUCCAUCUGGUACACAGGAUGAGACCCUCCGUGCCCGCAGACUGUCUUGCCAGAGUGGUGCAUGCUCUAGUUAUCUCCUGCUUAGACUACUGCAAUGCGCUCUACGUGGGGCUACCUUUGAAGGUGACCCGGAAACUGCAAUUAAUCCAGAAUGCGGCAGCUAGACUGGUGACUGGGAGCGGCCGCCGAGACCACAUAACACUGGUCUUGAAAGGCCUACACUGGCUCCCAGUACGUUUCCAAGCACAAUUCAAAGUGUUGGUGCUGACCUUUAAAGCCCUAAACGGCCUCCACUCUGGAAGCUGCCCAGAGUGGCUGGGACGCCCAGCCAGAUGGGCAGGGUAUAAAUCAUACAUUAGUAGUAGUAGUCGGAUGGGCACGGGGGAAACAUUAUGCAAUUUUUUUGCCAGUUCAUGAAAAAUAAUCUUGGACUGUAGAGAGUGUGGUUUGCCAACAGCACAAUACCACAAGAUAUUUUCUCUUCCCUUGGGACUUGCUUCUUUCUUGAACAUGUCCAGCCAAUCAGGGAUCACAUACCGUAUUUUUCGCUCUAUAAGACGCACCAGACCACAAGACACACCUAGUUUUUGGAGGAGGAAAACAAGAAAAACAUAUAUUCUGAAUCUCAGAAGCCAGAACAGCAAGACUGAUCGCUGCGCAGUGGAAGCAGCAAUCCCUCUUGCUGUUCUGGCUUCUGGGAUAGCUGUGCAGCCUGCAUUCGCUCCAUAAGACGCACACACAUUUCCCCUUACUUUUUAGGAGGGAAAAAGUGAGUCUUAUAGAGCAAAAAAUACGGUAGUUAAAAGCAAUAACGUAACAUCACCAUGAGUGAAGGUUUGAACCUUGCUUUCUGCACCACUGUGGCAGCCUUCGUUUAGUUUUUUACUUGACCUCCCAUUUUCCAUGGUGUUUUUAAUUUAUCCUCCUUGCUGCACCCUAUCUCCUCUUUUCUUAUAUUGUAACUACUGCACAAUAAUCUAUUUUCUUCUCUUGCUCACAGUUGGAAUCAUGCUCGCAAAUUCAUCAUACUGUAAUAUUUCUAUAAAUAUUCUGAAAAUGGCUUCCAUUCUUCCACAAAACAAUCCUCAUUAGGUUCUCUUAUGAUCCAUAAUCAUGUUGCCUGGCGAGAUGCUUUAAAAAAAAUAAAUAUAAAAUGCACACAUUCAUGAAAAUAACCUCCCAAACAAAACAUGCAUAUUAGGGGAAAUCAUUUCUGAAAAUGGAUACAGUGAGCAAAAUCUCAUACAAAAGCAUUUGCAUGAGGAGUAAUGAUCGGUAAAAUGCUGAUAAACAGUUGUUGAUGUUGUUAUUUUAAAAAGUAGUUGUUAAGUGAGGUAUGAAUGUUGCAAACUGAGCUCAAGAAUGGAAAAGUGCAAGAAACCAAAACUUGAAUGAUUUAUUCAUCCCUUCCUGAAUGCACAUACAUUUAUUCAAAGAACACAAGACCCAGAGCCAGUCAAUUUAUUUUUACACCUCUCUCCCUCUCUGGCAGCGAAAAUACCAGGAUUAUAAAUCAAAUAACGAACCAUUUGCUUCUCUUUCCUGACAAUCCAAAUCUGCCGCUCGAGGCAGCCACCUCAUUUUGCCCAAAGGUAAGGCAGGCAGUCCCUGCUUCUAGGCUGAUGGAGUUAUUGGACAUGUAGCCGAUGAGGGAGCACAUUUAAGAAACAGCACAGGCGACUGGAUUAGCCAUGUCGUCUGUACAAAACAACACAAUCAGCCGUUCUCUCAACUCGCUUUCCCUGUUCAUUCUGCUGCCAAAUUUUUUGAUUGCUAUUUAACAGAAACAACAGAUCGAAAGAAUGGAAGAGGGUGUGUGUGUUUGCAGUUUAAUAAAAAAUUGAUUUCCAACCUGUUGAAAAAUGAAUGUUUUUCUUUUAAGAAAAAGCUCCCGCAGUCUCCAAAUUAAGUCUAAGCUUUGGCCAAUAAAGCUCCUGAGGUCACGAAUGGAUGAAAGAACAUGAAGAAUAUGCUUGUGCCAAUCCACACAAUAAGACACUCGAGAGCUAAAGUUAAGCUUGGCUUCAGGACGCAGGGUGCAUUGUAUAUAGAUCCAGGAUUCACCACACCUCGUUCUCUGUCUUCCAAAGAGAAAUAGUUUCCCAGGCCCUGAAGACCCACCAAUAUUCCCAUCACCUGGAAUGGAAUUGGACAUUCCAGCUUCGGCGGUGAACCUCUGGAGUUUGGCAGGAUCGGUAUAAAAUCAUUCCUCUGCUCCUCUGCUCAAACUCAAAGGAGCAAAACCUGGUGAUUCUGCCCUGAUUUCCCAUGGUCCAGACGCCUCUGUUUAUUUCCGGAGCGGUACUGAAACCCAAUGGAUGAAAAUCUUGAGCCGGAGAAGGAAUUCCACAAGUGGGAGAGACAGUCAUAUCCUCUCUCUCUCUCUCUCUCUCUCUCUCUCUCUCUCUCUGAUUUCUUCCCAUCAACACAGACAGAGCAGGCUGGACCCCAGCUCUGUGUUCGUAUUGUGUUAGGAAUGGUUUGUCAGUUACACUAUGAUGGAUGCUAAUGUCAAACAAUGUAUGGAAGUGAGAGCUGGACCAUAAAGAGGCUGAUCGCCGAAGAAUUGAUGCUUUUGAAUUAUGGUGCUGGAGGAGACUCUUGAGAGUCCCAUGGACUGCAAGAAGAUCAAACCUAUCCAUUCUGAAGGAAAUCAGCCCUGAGUGCUCACUGGAAGGACAGAUCCUGAAGCUGAGAUUCCAAUACUUUGGCCACCUCAUGAGAAGAGAAGACUCCCUGGGAAAGACCCUGAUGUUGGAUAAGAUGGAGGGCGCAAGGAGAAGGGGACGACAGAGGAUGAGGUAGUUGGACAGUGUUCUCGAAGCUACUAGCAUGAGUUUGACCAAACUGAGGGAGGCAGUGGAAGACAGGAGGGCCUGGCAUGCUCUGGUCCAGGGGGUCACGAAGAGUCGGACACGACUAAACAACAACAACAACAAAAUGUCAAACAAAGGUCCAAAAUGUUGUCAGUGGCCCCAAAUAUUAAAGAUGGGUGUUAGGAGAACAAAGUUUGCUCAACCCCCCACCAUUUCUGCAAACAUUGUUCAGAUAUUUAUUCCAGAUUUCAACAGCUUCACUGGUGAAACUGUAUCCACAGACUCUCUUAAGAUCAUUAAAGACUCAGCACUCAUUGUUCCUCUGCCCCAUCUAUCCCUUGCUCUUUCCGGCUCAUAUGUUAUUUAUGGCGCUGAAGCUUUGCUGAAAAUAAUAAGGGUUAUUUGAGAAUAUUUUAUUCUGUUCCACAAAAAGCUUCAGCACAAUGCAGCUUCUCUGAGAGCAUUAAACUUGUCAGCAUUAAACCUGAGAGCAUGAACUGGCAGAAGAAAUGUGGGAGCUUUAUGAGGAAAAAGUUAGUUUUGAAAAGAAUUUCACAGCUCUGAAACGUGAAGUCCGGUUUAUGUCCCGAGAGUGUAAGAACAGUCCUGCAGAGAUUUAAAUAAACUCCACGGCUUCCUUCUUCAACCCCAACUACUCCCGAGGGGUUUGUGGAAAUCCCAAUUUAAGGAACAUACCAUCCUUUGGUUGACAUGGUACCAAAUUAGAAAAUGUAUACAGUACAACCAACCCACAUCAUGGAACUGGAACUGAGAGAUCUUUUGUUGUUGUUUAGUCGUUUAGUCGUGUCUGACUCUCCGUGACCCCCUGGACCAGAGCACGCCAGGCACUCCUGUCUUCCACUGCCUCCCGCAGUUUGGUCAAACUCAUGCUGGUAGCUUCGAGAACACUGUCCAACCAUCUCAUCCUCUGUCGCCCCCUUCUCCUUGUGCCCUCCAUCUUUCCCAACAUCAGGGACUUUUCCAGGGAGUUUUCUCUUCUCAUGAGGUGGCCAAAGUAUUGGAGCCUCAGCUUCAGGAUCUGUCCUUCCAGUGAGCACUCAGGGCUGAUUUACUUCAGAAUGGAUAGGUUUGUUUUUCUUGCAGUCCAUGGGACUCUCAAGAGUCUCCUCCAGCACCAUAAUUCAAAAGCAUCAAUUCUUCAGCGAUCAGCCUUCUUUACGGUCCAGCUCUCACUUCCAUACAUCACUACUGGGAAAACCAUGCUUUUACUAUACGGACCUUUGUUGGCAAGGUGAUGUCUCUGCUUUUUAAGAUGCUGUCUAGGUUUGUCAUUGCUUUUCUCCCAAGAAGCAGGCGUCUUUUAAUUUCGUGGCUGCUGUCACCAUCUGCAGUGAUCAUGGAACCCAAGAAAGUAAAAUCUCUCACUGCCUCCAUUUCUUCCCCUUCUAUUUGCCAGGAGGUGAUGGGACCAGUGGCCGUGAUCUUCGUUUUUUUGAUCUUACCCCUUUUGAAUUAUUGCUGGAUUCUGCCAAUAAGAUAGAACAAGGUCUGGUGUCUAGGCUGCAGAAUAAAAUAUUGCAGAAUGGUUUAACCGCCUAUUCACCAAAGUGCUAGAGAGAAUGUGGAGCAUUAGGCUCUAAUCAACAUUGCAGGGGGUUGGACUUUUCAGUUCUGUGAUUCUGUGGACAUGAAUGGGGGACAUGAAGCCUAGCUAUCCUGGCUAGUAAGUCAUCAAUAGCCGUCUCCUCCCUGAAUUCGUCUAAUCCUCCUUUAAAGCCAUCUAGGCUGGUGGCCUCCUGGGGGAGCAAGUUCCAUAAUUUGACUAGGCGUUGUGUGAAUAAUGACUUUCUUUCAUCUGUCCUGAAUUUUCCAAUAUUCAGCUUCAUUUGAUGUUCAGCUCCCAAAUCACUGCAGCUCCCGAAUCCCAGAUCACCAAUGAACUGGAAAGAAUUGUCUCUCUUUCUUCCACUGUCUGCAUAAGCCUGACGAUCGUCUUCCAAAGCAACUACUGUAUUCCGAACUUAAAAAUGGAAAGUGUAAUGCUGGUGGUCAACAAAAGAGGUUUAAAGACUGUCUCUGUCUGCGUUUGUGUGUGAACACAAGGGCUGACAUUGAUGCCAAAAUCCAGCAUUGCCUGAGCUAUGCGAGUGCGGCUUUCUCCCGACUGAAGUGCAGAGUGUUUGAGGACCGGGACAUUCGCAGGGAAACCAAAAUGCUUGUUUGCAAAGCUAUGGUACUACCAACCUUACCAUAUGCUUGUGAAACAUGGACCACUUAUAAACGCCAUCUCCAACUCCUCGAAAGAUUCCAUCAACAAUGUCUCCGAAAAUUUUUACGCAUCACUUGGGAAGGCAAGGGAACUGAUACCAGUGUACUGGAAGAAGCAAAGAUCACCAGUGUUGAAGCAAUGAUUCUUCAACAUCAACUUCGCUGGACUGGUCAUGUUGUGCGGAUGCCUGAUGAUCGUCUUCCAAAGCAACUACUCUAUUCCAAACUUAAAAAUGGAAAGUGUAAUGCUGGUGGUCAACAAAAGAGGUUCAAACACUCUCUCAAGGCAAAUUUCCAAAAAUGUAGUAUAAACACCAACAACUGGGAAACACUGGCCUGCGAGCGCUCCAAUUGGAGAACAGCCUUUACCAAAGGUGUCAUGGGCUUUGAAGACACUCAAACUCAGGACGCAAGGUAGAAACGUGCUAAGAGGGAGGCACGCUUGGCAAACCCUCACUGUGAUCAACUCCCGCCUGGAAACCAAUGUCCUCACUGUGGAAGGACAUGUGGAUCCAGAAUUGGCCUCCAGUCACUUAGGGACUCAUUGUUAAAACCGUGUUUAUGGAAGACAAUCUUACUUGGCUACGAGUGAUAGAAGAAGAAGAAGAAGAAGAAGAAGAAGAAGAAGAAGAAGAAGGUAGCCCUGAAGAGUGUUCAGCAAAUGUUUUAGAAGUAACACAAAAGGCGGUCCCUGCUGAAUCCUUGUUGCAUGAGAAUUGCGUGAUACUGCAGCGAUUUCUUGCUGACAUCAGAUGAGUCUCACAAACUCGGGGUUGGGUAGGAGAAAUUUGCCUCUGGUGUAAGCUCUGACCUGUCACCGCAUAUUUAUUUCUUAAUUCUGAAGAUCUUGUGAACAGCCUCUUCACUCAGUCACAGUUAUAGUUAUGGAGCCUUUUAUUCUCUUUUUACUGAGCUAUACAUCCUAUCGACUUUUUGCAGCUGUGUUUACAGAAAUCAAUAAACACAGUUUUAUUUUUAUUUUUAAAGUUGCAUGUGAAUCUCUCGUCACAGUGAAAUACUGCCCAGCUACUUUUCAGAGGCAGGAGCAAGAAGCUAUCGCCAGUAACAGUAUCUUGACUGAGCUUCAUUAAUAUGCACCCAAGUGUGGAAAUGGAACACUCGUAAAUUAGAUUCCCUUCUCUCCCAGCCUCUGCAAAUACUGUCUUCUGGCUGCGGCUUGAUUCUGUACUAAUUUCCAUUUGAAGCUCGUAUGGCAUACCAGAUGUCAAAUGUGAGCUGGUAAGCCCUGGUUAGAUGUGUCCUCUGGUGUGACGGGCAGUAUAGGCUAGUGGUUAGAGUGCUUGACUGAGAUCCUGGGUUCAAAUCCUUGCACAGGCACAGCGGCGGAGGAAGCCACUCGGGUGCCUGGGGCGACGCGCCCAGGGGAGGAGCAAUAAUAAUAAUAAAAAAAAUUAUUUAUACCCCACCCUCCCCAGCCAGAGCCAGGCUCAGGGCGGCUAACAACAUUAAAAUUACAGUAAAAACAUAAUAGGAAGGGGGGGAAACCCAAUUUAAAAUACAGGUUAAAAUGCAAUUUCAAAUGCAGCCUCAUCAAAACCAUAAGGGGAGGGAAACAGAAGGGUCAGACUGAGUCCAAACCAAAGGCCAGGUGGAACAGCUCUGUCUUGCAGGCCCUGCGGAAAGACAUCAAGUCCCGCAGGGCCCUAGCCUCUUGUGACAGAGCGUUCCACCAAGUCGGGGCCAGUACUGAAAAGGCCCUGGCCCUAGUUGAGAGCAAUCUAACCACCUUGGGGCUCGGGACCUCCAAAGUGUUGUUAUUUAUGGGCCUUAAGGUCCUCCGCGGGGCAUACCAGGAGAGGCGGUCCCGUAGGUCCGGCUGCAUAUGGGCAAGCCGCCCAUAAGGGUGGGGCGAGAGCAGGGCAAGCCGCCCAUAGGGGCAGGGCACACCACGGGCCCUCUGGGGUCCGCCUGCUUCCUCCUACUCAGCCGCCCUACAGCUCUGGGGGCUUGGCAGCAGGCAGACCGUUUGGGCAGCGUGGAGCUUGUGUGUGCCCAAGCCUACGCGUCUCUCCCAGGAGAGAUGUGUGGCUCGGGUGCGCUGCAGGCCCCGCGGUGAGUGCCGCCUGGCAUUUUGUCACCCCCCUCAGCGGUAACACCUGGGGGCGGACCGCACCCAACGCACCCCCCUUCCUUUGCCCCUGCCCAGGCACAGACUUGUUCUCUGUUGCUCUAGAGCAGGGGUCAGUAACCUUUUUCAGCCGUGGGCCGGUCCACCGUCCCUCAGACCAUGUGGUGGGCCGGACUAUAUUUUGAAGAAAAAAUAUAUAUGAAUGAUUUCCUAUGCCCCACAAAUAACCCAGAGAUGCAUUUUAUAUAAAAGGACACAUUCUACUUGGUAAGUUGUGGGUGAACAUAUCAGACGACAGUGAUUCUUCAAACAGCUCUUGUUUAUUCUCAGGCCAGAACAGAACUGAACUGAAGGGUUCAGCCAGCCUGCUUAUAUAGAGCUUCACUAGAACGCAACUGUAACCACUUUCUGUAACUAUCCCAUCACUGAACGUCACUUUCAAUCCCCUAUUUGCAUAUGUGGACCUGAGUGAAAACUAUCUACAGUAUCCCCCUGCUGGCCCAGGGUGAGAACUUCAGUACAUAACACCACUCGUGUGAAAACACCAGGCAGGCCCCACAAAUAACCCAGAGAUGCACUUUAAAUAAAAGGACACAUUCUACUCAUGUAAAAACACCAGGCAGGACCCACAAAUAACCCAGAGAUGCACUUUAUAUAAAAGCACCCAUUCUAUUCAUGUAAAAACACCAGGCAGGCCCCAUAAAUAACCCAGAGAUGCAUUUUAAAUAAAAGGACACAUUCUAUUCAUGUAAAAACACGCUGAUUCCCCGACCGUCCGCGGGCCGGAUUGAGAAGGCGAUUGGGCCGCAUCCGGCCCCCGGGCCUGAGGUUGCCUACCUUUGUUCUAGAGGGCAGAACAAGACCAACAGGUCUGCUCAAAGAGAACAUUUUUUUCCAGCAUAUGCCAGCUGAAUCACUGAAAUUGUUUUAAGGAGUUUCACUGGUUGUCCCCUGACAUGGAAUUUCGGUUAAACCCAUUAUUAUCACAUACACAAGAAUACAUAGCCCAAAGUUGGGCUGUGCUUUAGGUGAGAGCCUAGUAGCAAAAGCUGUUCAGCAAUGGGACAGACUGCUUCAGCAGGACUCUCCUUUACCAGAGGUAUUUAAGCAGAGGAGGGCUGGCCUUCUGGAAGGGAAGCUAUAGUUGCAAAUCCUGCAUUGAACAGGAUAGAGAUGGGGAGCAGAAGCCUCGUUCCAUCAGCUUUGCUGAAAGACCAAUUCCAUCAAUCAUCUCUAAUGACUUGUCAUUAGAAGAACAGCUGUUUAGAAAAGGGUGCUUUUAUUUUCCUCUUCCCUCCCUUUCUCCUUUUCCUUGUGUGCUGUUUUUUUUAUAGAUUGGCCUAAGGCAGAUGUAAAAGGGACAUGGGUGGCACUGUGGGUUAAACCACAGAGCCUAGGAUUUGCCGAUCGGAAGGUUGGUGGUUCGAAUCCCCGCGACGGAGUGAGCUCCCGUUGCUCGGUCCCUGCUCCUGCCAACCUAGCAGUUCGAAAGCACAUCAAAGUGCAAGUAGAUAAAUAGAUACCGCUCUGGCAGGAAGGUAAACAGUGUUUCCGUGUGCUGCUCUGGUUCGCCAGAUGCGGCUUAGUCGUGCUGGCCAAAUGACCCGGAACCUGUACGCCGGCUCCCUCAGCCAAUAAAGUGAGAUGAGCGCCGCAACCCCAGAGUCAUCUGCGACUGGACCUAAUGGUCAGGGGUCCCUUUACCUUUACCUUUAAGGCAGAUGUAGAAGGUUGAUUGGCAGAUUGCUAGCAGUGAGGAGGUGUGGACUUCAAUAUGGAGAACUGCAUCACAAAAUUUGUAUGGUUCCAGGAAGUACAGAUUAAGCAAAUUUGGCUUUGAACGAUAACUGAACUAAAUUUUGACCGAUAUCCCUGAUUAUGCAGGACUGAACCGGCCACCUGCAUAGCCUGAUAUUAAAUGGGGGCUACCAAUUAUUUUCCAUAACUAGCUACCUGAAACUUACAGCUGCAUCAGGUCUGCAGUAUUUCUUCUUACAUGUGUGUGUGUGUGUUGUCUUAGAACUGAGCAGUAUAUAUAAUCUUUUCGGUCCAAAUUUACAUGUCUGAUGAGAGAAAGAGCCUUUCAUCUCAAACAACUGAGAGACCAAACUGAUCAAAAGUGUUUCUCUUUUCAUCAAAGUCCUAGGCGUGAAUCACAACGCAGACUAGAUGAGCAAGCUCACCCAUGCUUGCCUCAGAAAUCUUGCUUAUUUCUCCCUCAAGCUUCCUCAAGACUUAAAGUUCACCUGUUUGUUUGAUAUUUAUUUCAAGUGGGGGGACGGGGACGGGACGCAUAGUCCUAUUCACCCGCCCACUUAACGAGCAGCAAUAAAAACCUUUUUUCUUUUGAGAAGAGAAAGGGGGUGACCCCCCGGAGGGAGGAUUUGCUUGAGGUAGAUCUUGCAUGCUUUCUCCUAGCUGAUUGUGCACAGGAGUACAAUUUCCUGAUGGUGAGCAUGGGAUGUGGAUUUUCCUCUGUCUCCUGAACUGAAUUGGGAGGCAGGGGAAACUACAACCCCCUGCUUCCUGGAAGGAAAUCUAUCCAUUUUCGAAACUGCAUUCCAGGAGGAAACAGGACAGGGUUCCAGCAUCUUUAAGAGCCUUCUAGAUUGGGGAAUUCCAGCAGGGUUCUUCUUAUUGUUAGAAUUCCUGCUCCAUGAUUGCAGUCAUGGGAUUGUCGUCUAUCACAUGACGGUGUGUGUUUUGACUCCACAGAGUGGGAAGUGAUGGAGACAGGAUGUUUGUGUUACUGUGUUCCGUGAAGUGGGACUAUUGUCCUUUGUCCUUUCUCUUUGCUGUCUGAUGCUAGAGAGAGAGGGAGCCAUGUUACAGUGCUCCGUGUGUAUUUAUAUGUAAAUAAAGUAGAUUAGCCCAAAUGCUGAGUUGCUGAGGUCUGUCACGCAAGCUGCAAAGACUCUGCGGAUCCCUAAGUGUGCCGGUGUCUGUUGGCAUCAGUUGCUGUGAUGUUCAGGCUGAAGAAAGCUUUUGAAGCUCCCGAACGAUCGACCAGGAGGGAGAGACAUGCCAGUCGGGCAUGUGUCUCUGCCAGGGUCCUACUCGAGUGUAGGACGAGCUCCUGACACUUAUGUCAUUAGAACUGUAGAAUCAUAGAAUUGCAGAGUUGAGAGAGGGGUACCAAACGGUCAUCUAGUCCAACCCCACUCAAUGCAAGUAUCACAGCUGAAUCAGCUCCAAGUUACAGCAAGCCAAACCUGUCAGUUUGGGGGCCCCUCAGUUUCUUUCCCCACCCAACAAAUCUUAAAUCCUGUUCCCCACAUUUCCACAGCAGUUUGAUACUACUAUUUUUAAAAAAACUUUAUUGCAAAAAAAUUUACGUAUAACAACAGACAAUACCUCAAUGACAACUAAACAUUAACUAACAACACAUUGUCUAACAUCACACACACUUUUGACUUCCGAUUCACCUCAUUGUGCUUUCUACAUAUUCUUAACCUUUACGCAUUUCCUGUUAUAUCUGUUACAUAUCCAGAAAAUUUUCUACAUUUAUAAUUUCCCUUAAUAUUCAAGAUUCAAUCUGGAACUGUCAGGAGAUUUGCAGAUUCUUUAUAUGUUAUCCAUUCUUUACACACUUUCUGGUUUGAGUUUCCUCUUAUUUAAGGUUACCAGAUUUUUUUUCAAAGAAUCCGGGGACACUUUUUUUUUGAAAAGAGAAAAAAAAAUUUAAAAAAUUAAGAAGUAAUAUCUUCUCUUCUGUGAUCUUUGCUUCUUCCAGUACACUGGCAUUAGUUCGCCUGUGAUGCGUAAAUUUUUUCGCACACACACAAAGGAGGACUAAAGGAAGAUUGGUUUACUACUGAUAUUAGUAAGAAAACACAUACAAUUGCCAAUCUUUUGGGAGUAUUGUUUUUUAAUCUGCAGCAAGUGGAAUGGAGCACGAUUAUAAACAAAUACAGUGGUACCUCAGGUUACAUACGCUUCAGGUUACAGACUCUGCUAACCCAGAAGUGCUUCAGGUUAAGAACUUUGCUUCAGGAUGAGAACAGAAAUCGUGCUCCGGCCGCGCGGCGGCAGCAGGAGGCCCCAUUAGCUAAAGUGGUGCUUCAGGUUAAGAACAGUUUCAGGUUAAGAACGGACCUCUGGAACGAAUUAAGUACUUAACCUGAGGUACCACUGUAUCUGCAAACUGAGAUGCGAUAGAUACAUCCUUCCUUGUGCCUUCUGGAGGGAUCCCCAAUAUGGUCUCGGCAGGAUAGGCUCCAUCUGGGGGGGGGGCUGAGGGCCCCCUCAAAUUUUCAAUCAGAGUGCACCCCCACCAAAAAAUACAGCAUCCUGCCUGGCACUGGCUGUCUCUAUUGCGGGGACAAGGAGGUGCGCUGGCCCUGCAAGUUCUAGAAGAAACUGCCAUUGGUGGCAGAAGAUGGAAAACCUAACGCUUGGUUCAAAUUUGUAUCUCGUCCACCCAUUUCUAGCAAACAGAAUGUUUUUCAUAUAUAGGAACCAGUUCGGUCUUCCAUAGCAUUUAAUUAGCAAAACGUUAACCAUCUGCCUCGCAGUGCGACAUAAACUUCAAUAGAAUUUUCCUCAAACGAGACGGGCUUUUUUGUCGCCGUUUCUUUCGCUCCGUGCAUCGUUUGAUCAUCAAACGUACCGAUCACUGCUUCUCAGCUUAUUAUUCAAAUUCUUUUGCUUUCAGUUAAAGGGUUCGUGCAACCCACACUCUCUUUCCUAACGAACUCCAGAUCAGAUUGGCGACGCGGGGUGUGUUUUUGCACGAGGUGGGCUUCGAGGUUCAGUGAUGUAGUUGGUGAGGACCCCAGACGGUGUCAGCUCAAGACAUUUUGAUGCAAACCAAAACAUGGCGCCCCUCAACCUGAUAUUCAGUGGUAGGCUGCACCUGAACUUGGAGUCUCAGUUUCAGCUAUGCUGUUUAACAGCCCUUGCUAUACCCCCUGCAUCUGGAUACGGCCCACCUCCUUUUGAAGCCAUCUGACCUAGUGGCUCCUUCAUCACAAGAGAGGGCAUCCAACACCUUCAUUUUACUUUUGAAGACCACUCCUAGUGGUGCAAAAUUCCAGGGAUCUCAGGCACUUAUCCAGGGUUUGGUUUCCUCGGGAUGAGGCACAACAGAGACUGUGGUGUCUUUAAGAUAUAUGGUUUAUUUACACACAUAUAUAACCUGAGCCUGUUGUCUUUGUCCAUGGAGUUUUCUUGGCAGGGAUACUGGAGUGGCUUGCCGGUUCCUGCUCCAGGUGGAUCACGUUUGGUCAAAACUCUCCACUAUGACCUGUCCAUCUUGGGUGCACCUUGCCAACAAAGGUCCACAUAGUAAAAGCUAUGGUUUUCCCAGUAGUGAUGUAUGGAAGUGAGAGCUGGACCAUAAAGAAGGCUGAUCGCCGAAGAAUUGAUGCUUUUGAAUUAUGGUGCUGGAGGAGACGCUGGAGAGUCCCAUGGACUGCAAGAAGAUCAAACCUAUCCGUUCUUAAGGAAAUCAGCCCUGAGUGCUCACUGGAAGGAGAGAUCCUGAAGCUGAGGCUCCAAUACUUUGGCCACCUCAUGUGAAGAGAAGACUCCCUGGAAAAGACCCUGAUGCUGGGAAAGAUGGAGGGCGCAAGGGGACGACAGAGGACGAGAUGGUUGGACAGUGUUCUUGAAGCUACCAGCAUGAGUUUGACCAAACUGUGGGAGGCAGUGGAAGACAGGAGUGCCUGGCAUGCUCUGGUCCAUGGGGUCACGAAGAGUCGGACAUGACUAAACGACUAAACAACAACAACAACAUAACCUGAGCCUAAGAUGGAGGGGCUCAUUUCAGUAACAUCUCAAGAAGGUCUUGCUUCUCCCAUAGCCACAGCUUUGGUUUCCAGCAGAAAGCAAGCAUCUCUCUCUGGCUUCCGCCUGCAGCCUGCUCUCUGAGACACCUCAGCUCUCCCUUUCGCCCUCCUAACUAUCAGCCAGUUGAGGGAGCCAUUUGCCCUCUACUGCCAAGCCACUUCCUUCAUUACCCUCAACUGUUUUCAGUUACGUAUUCUAAAUUGUCGUGAGCCACCUUCACAGCCUCAAAAGCUGUGGCUUGAAUGACUUGCUCCCCUAUUGCAGCAGGUGCAUUUUCAACUCUACCAUUCUAUAUUACAGGGAUGUCCAACAGGUUGAUCACGAUCGACUGGUCGAUCCCCGGGAGGUUUUGGUAGAUCGUGGUCAAUUGCUGACUCCUCCGUCCAGCCCCGGCCCCUCGCCCCGUCCUCUAGAUAGCUAGAAUGGAAGUUGGAGC
rnacentral:lncRNA from 1 species